UGUAUUUUCAUCAGAAAGAGGAACAACGUGAUGUAAAUAUGAGAUGGGACCUCAUCCUUGGUGCACUUCCUGUCUACCUGCAUGAAGAUUCUUUAAGUUCUUCAGGACCUGUAAUUCAGGAGUUGGUCCAGACCUCACCGAUACUCCAGUGGCUCUCCUGACAGUCGUAACGGAUAACACUACUGAUGCAGCCCUCUUCUGCCCUGAGAGUAUCUGUCGUGAAGGAUAAAACACUUGCAAGCUCCU